AACGAACGCUGGCGGCAUGCCUAACACAUGCAAGUCGAACGAGACCUUCGGGUCUAGUGGCGCACGGGUGCGUAACGCGUGGGAACCUGCCCUUAGGUUCGGAAUAACUCCCCGAAAGGGGUGCUAAUACCGGAUAAUGUCUUCGGACCAAAGAUUUAUCGCCUUUGGAUGGGCCCGCGUUGGAUUAGCUAGUUGGUAGGGUAAAAGCCUACCAAGGCGACGAUCCAUAGCUGGUCUGAGAGGAUGAUCAGCCACACUGGGACUGAGACACGGCCCAGACUCCCUCGGGGGGGAGGAGGGGGGGAUAUUGGACAAUGGGCGAAAGCCUGAUCCAGCAAUGCCGCGUGAGUGAUGAAGGCCUUAGGGUUGUAAAGCUCUUUUACCCGGGAUGAUAAUGACAGUACCGGGAGAAUAAGCGCCGGCUAACUCCGUG
rnacentral:rRNA from 1 species